CUGACAACUGUGUUCAAUUACAAAGGAAAACAACAAAACUUAAAGCACAUGUACAAAAUGUUAUAAAUACAUUGCCAAAGUUUGUAACUAAUAAGUUAUGGUGAGGGAGCAACUGUGCGGAUCUUUAUGAUUAUAUAUAGUAGAAUAUUAUUUUGAUAUACUGACUUUUUUUUUCUUGGCAAUAUAUUUAUUUUUACUCAGUGUUCCUUCCUCCUUCAAACUUGACCUCUGGACAGCCAUGCCCUGAGGUAGGGUUAUUGUAGCAUAGUGCAGAUACCAAGAAAGUCAAUCCCUGGCCUUUGAGGUAUAAAAUAUGUUUGGAAACUCAAGGCAGAGAUAAAACCUUUGUGAUUAAAAAGCUUUUGAACUUCAAAGGCUAAAACCAUCAAUAACCCAGAGCAUAAAGUCAUGCCUUUGCCACAAGCAUAUACAAAUAUGUGAUUAGCCAGAGCAUUUCUCCAUUGCUUUCCUUUGGAAGCUUUUAUAAGGAUUUCUUAGGCUUGUAAAGUGAAGAGGAGAAGUGUGCUUUGAGUCUGGUGCUUCCCUAGGAAAGUGUCCUGUGGUCCACCUGCUGGAGCUCAGAGUGCAGGGGAGCCAUGGAGGAGAAAUGGCUGUCAGGUAGAGCCAGCAGGGAUGGUCUGAGACAACCUUCCCACAGACUGAGAGUGGCAUGGGAGGGUGGAUGAACCUUAUCCAGUGCUCAUAGAGUGAAAAAGGAGUAGCUGAGAGCUACUUUGGUUUUGGGACAUGGAGUCAUAACCAUGAUCUUCAUGUUGUGGCAAUUAGAGACCAAAUGGGAAUAAAAUAGACCAUUAUUGAUGACCAGAAAGGAUCCCUGUGUGUCCCAUCUUUAUUCCUUGUGCUCUACAAGCCCUGAGAGAGGGAAGUGUGUAUGUGUGUGUGUGUGUGUGUGCACGUGCGUGCGCACAUGUAUGCGGAGAGGGGAAGCAGUUGAACUGAGUUGACAGAGAAUAUGCCUUGUCAUCUGGCAGAUGAGUAACUCAAAAAAAAAAUUACAGGGGGGAAAAAAGUCAUGCUCUUGUAUAGAUGAGUUUGGG
rnacentral:lncRNA from 1 species